rnacentral:lncRNA from 1 species
AUUACAGAUUUCUUCACCAGCUACCGCCCCCCACAGACACCCACGCCCUCACACUUCCCGGAGCCCCCCAGUUUUGGCACCAUGGCUGACCCUUUCUUCGGCAGUUCGAUCCUGGGCUCAGAGGUGCCCCCUGCCUCGUCAGGCAUGACCCACCUCUCAGGGAAUAACCGCCUGCAGGUGAGCUCCCACCCCACGCCAUUCAGCCGUGCCUCGCUCACCUGCCCAUGUCCAGGAGAUAUUCAGGGCACUUCCUGGGUGCUCAUUCCUAUGCUUGGUCAACUGAGAGGGACUGGAGGGGGGAAACAGACCCCAUCUCUGCCCUCUGAGUGGGCGCAGUUCAGCUGAGGAGGAAACCGUUGUGAAACAGAGAUGGACCAGGUGGUUCUGGGAGGGAGGCUGAGGGCAGGGGAGCAUGGAGCAGGGUACCACGAAGGACUGGGGUGCUUGGGGAAGGCUUCCUGGAGGAGGCGAGGUUCUGGGCUUAGUGAAUGUGUUGGGUUUGGCCAGAAGAGGCCAGUAAGGGGCAAGCCAGAUGGGAGGAGAGCACGCGGAGACAGAAAGCUCAGUGUGAGCAUUUAGGAAACAGUGAACCUGCCAUUUUGGAUACGGAACUCACAGGCUCAAUUCGGUGGUUGCCUCUCUGCUGCCAGGUCCCUCUGUCAUCAGACUGUUCCGGCACUAUUGUAGUUCAUUGCUGAGAGGUCUCUCUCCUCAACCAGACCGUGAGCUCCUUACUGGAAGAGCUAGGCCUUGCUCACCGCUGCAUCUUCCAUACCUACCACAGUUCAAGAAGCAUAGGGUCAAUGGUUGCCCAAUGGUUGAGCCACUAAGUGAAUGAGUGAAUGUGUGGAUGGAUGGGUGUGUUGGUGAAUGGAUACACGGGUUGUAGAUGGGGGUGGAUGCUUACAUGGGUAAGCGAGUGGUUGGUUGGAUGCAUGUGCUGGUGGAUGGAUUUGUGGAUGAAUAGGGUGGUGGCUGGAUAAGUGGCUGGUCAGUGAACAGAUGGUGGAUAGGUGGAUGGAUUAUGUCUGGAUGGGUUGGUGGAUGAAUGGGUUGGAUGGAUUGGUGAAUGGGUUUAUACCUCACAGGUUGGUGGAGAGAUAGAUGAGUUAGCUCACAGGUGAGAGGCCAAAUAGGGGAAUGGAGAACGAAUGGAUUGGUGGUAGGAUGGAAUCAUUAUUUGGUGAAUGAAAAGAUGGGCAGGAAGAUUGAUGCUCUUUCUUACACCUAAUGUGUGCCUAAGUGUGUUCCACUCCCUCCCCUCAUUAGGUUACAAUUUCCUUUGGUGUGUGUAGGUGGGGGGACAACAGGGAUCAUUUCUCCUCUCUCUCCCAGUGCCCAGUCCAGACCUCAGCCAGGGCAAGAGCCUGCCUGGGUGGCUGCAAAGGCCAGCUUUCUCCCCUGCUCUCUCUCUGUCCCCCAACCAGGCUCGGAGCAGCUGCCCUGGCACCCUGGACUCCAGUGCCUUCCUGAACUCUGAUUUCCUCCUUCCUGAAGACCCCAAGCCCAAGCUCCCACCCCCGCCAGCACCCCCA